GGGGCGCCUGGGUGGCGCAGUCGGUUAAGCGUCCGACUUCAGCCAGGUCACGAUCUCGCGGUCCGUGAGUUCGAGCCCCACAUCGGGCUCUGGGCUGAUGGCUCGGAGCCUGGAGCCUGUUUCCGAUUCUGUGUCUCCCUCUCUCUCUGCCCUUCCCCCGUUCAUGCUCUGUCUCUCUCUGUCCCAAAAAUAAAUAAAAAAAUAAAAAAUAAAAAAAAAAAUAAAAUUCCUAUAGUCAGACCCAGUGCCAAAAAAUUUUGACCUAACGUUACUUUGGCUCAGUAAAGAUUUUAGUUGGAAAUUACAGUCAAUAGCCCAGGUACUAUUUUCCAAAGAUCUUUAAGGCUGACUAGCAAAGACAACAAUGACCAUAAUGGUGAUCACAAUGAUGUCAUCACAACUAGCUGCUACCACCCGUUGAUCCCAUAAUAUGUGACCGGACGUUAUCUUCAUCCUCCCCACAAUCCAUUCUCAGCCCACACGCACCUAUGGCGCUGGGGGAAAGGGGAGAAAAUAUCAAGGAGUAAGAGACUGGACCAAGCUGCUGUCCCCUCCAGGUAUGACUGAAACAGGAGAUCCAGUAAACACGGUCAGUGAAAAGCUAGUUCAUUUCUUGGAAAAGGGAUUUCCAGAGAGUUCUCAAAACACAUAAAUAGCAGAAUCAUAAAGACAAACGUAACCGUUCAAGGAAUGGAGAAGUAUAUUCUCAAAAACUACACUCUAAGCCAGAGUUGUGGUUCAGAAAGGGGUUUUUAUGUUGCUGUUUUUGUUGUUUCAGUUUUGGCUUCAGAAAGGAUUCGCUGCCCUGCUGUAAACAUUCCCUCAGCGGUGGGCAGGGACGUGUCUUCACAGCAGAUUCAGACGUCUAGAUCUUGGCACAGACAGAAAGACACAGAACCUACCCAGCUAAGGUUGCCAUGCUUCUCCGAUGGACCAAGAAUCUAAGGCUUGAGCUGGACUCUCUCAACACUGAACACAUAGAUGCCCAAAUUGACAAAGGGAACUCUUAUGCAGGCAGGAGCAUCCGGAAGGGGAUCCUCAGAUCCUAACAGGCCCAUGGCUGCUGCCUUGUUGGAUCCUGGGUGAACUUCUGCACCUGACCAGCGGUCCACCCUACAACCCCCUCCACUUCACGCAACACUCCUGGCCAUGCCCUGUUGACCAGCCUGCUUCUUUCCAGUAAGUGCUAAUAGGAGUCGAUCUCAGAAGAGCAAAGGAUCCGAAGAGUUCCUGGAAUGUGUUAGCGCAGAACCUCACAGUCCAACGGGCUGCUUUGCAGAUGACCACCCUUAUCGCCAGGAAGCGGGACCUUGGAGAACAAUGAGAUGUGGUUCGAGAUGACCCCCUGUUCUUCUCGGGCAACCACUGAAACAGAAAAUGUGCCUGCAGGGAAAGCCUCCUCUAGGGGAAGUGAAGAGGCUAAGGUUCUUUAUUUUGAAAAUAGAGAACCACCCUCCUCACAAUCCUGUCCCCCCCUUUCUCCUUUCCAACUAGAAUAUUAUCCCCCCGCAAAAUGAAGAGUCAGUCAACUUUCGGGGGCAGCCAGGCAAUAAUGAAGAAAAAGCUGAAAGGCAGACUUCAUCUUAGAAGCCGUGGGUCUCUGAACUUUGGUGGCAGCCACUCCCCAGGGCGGAGACCCUGGCCUCGUCAC
rnacentral:lncRNA from 1 species